rnacentral:rRNA from 1 species
GAUGAACGCUGGCGGCGUGCCUAACACAUGCAAGUCGAGCGGAAAGACAAUGAGCUUGUGCUCUUACCGGUAGCGGCGGGCGGGCGAGUAACGAGUGCAUCACAAUCUUCUUUUUCGGGGAGAAUAACGGAAAAACGCAGACAAUAAUACAGCAUAUCACGUACGGCUGAGAGCAAUGGAGCUUCACGGCUUUCGUGUCAGAAUUAGCUGGUUUCGCGUUGGCUUAGCUAGUUGGUAAGGUAACGGCCUACCAAGGCGACGAUGCGUAGCUGAACUGAGAGGGUGAUCAGCCACACUGGAACUGAGACACGGUCCAGACUCCUACGGGAGGCAGCAGUGGGGAAUAUUGGACAAUGGGCGCAAGCCUGAUCCAGCCAUACCGCGUGGGUGAAGAAGGCCUUCGGGUUGUAAAGCCCUUUUGUUGGGAAAGAAAAGCAGCAGGUGAAAACCUCGCUGUUCUGACGGUACCCAAAGAAUAAGCACCGGCUAACUUCGUG